GCCCGGCUAGCUCAAUCGGUAGAGCGUGAGACUCUUAACGAGUUCUCCGUAGUGAAUCUCAAGGUUGUGGGUUCGACCCCCACGUCGGGCU
rnacentral:tRNA from 1 species